rnacentral:lncRNA from 1 species
AAAUUUUAUAAAAAUAAUUUAUGAUAAUUGAUAAAAAAAAAAAAGAAGGAAAGGAAUUAUUUGAUUAUGCAUUCUUAACAUUAGAGCCAUGUUUAUUUGUAUUUUAUAUAGUUGUAACAGUCACAUAGGAAAGUAAUGAUUACGCCAUAAAAGUAUGUGUUGCAGACAAUAUAUAUAACAUACUCAUUAUAAAUGAUACUAGAGCAAACGUAAAACAAACACUGUUUACUAAGUUUUAUAAUGGAUUUAUUAUACAACUGC